rnacentral:rRNA from 1 species
AUGCUUCGUCUCCCCGCUCUCCUCCCUCUUAAACCCUCGGCCCCGACCACCGGCCUAAACCCCACCCGGCGCAGCCAUGGCCACCGCGGCCCCAAACGCCUCCUCGCUUCCUCCACCACGCCGCCGCCACCGCCGCCGCCGCCGCGACGGACUCCCAAUCCAGCCACGGCCCCGAAACCCCCGAAGCCCGAACCCCGCGCGGGCCCCCAGAAUCCAGAAGGCGCCGCCGCGGAGUUCCCCACAACCAAGCCCCGCAAACCACGCCGCGGUCGCCGAAGCGAGGCGGCCGCCGUGGAGGACUUCGUCCGCGACCGCCUCGAGCAGGUCUUCGCCUCCAUCCAGGAGCGCGACCCCGAGGUCCUCCAAGGCAAAGGCGACAUCUUGAAGCCAAAGGAGGAGGAGGAGCGGGCUUCCGGCGAGGAGCCCGGGGAGGAAGAUGGGGAGCAGAAGACGGUGGUGGAGGAGGAGGACCCGAGCUGGCCACUGGACGCCGACGUCGGGUGGGGGGUCCGGGCGUCGGAGUACUUCGACAAGCAUUCCAUCAAGAACGUGACGGUGGACGGCGUGGAGAUCGAUUGGGAAGGAGAGGUCGACCGGGGCUGGGUCAAGGAGAUCAACUGCUUGGAGUGGGAGAGCUUCGCCUUCCACCCCAGCCCCCUUAUCGUCCUAGUCUUCGAGCGCUACAACAGGGCGGCUGACAAUUGGAGGUUCCUUCAAGAAUUGGAGAAGGCUACUAAGGUAUAUUGGGAUACAAAAGAUCGGCUACCUCCACGGACUGUGAAGAUUGAUCUGAACAUCGAGAGAGACCUGGCAUAUGCACUCCAAGCAAAGGAAUGCCCGCAAUUGCUGUUCUUGAGAGGAAACAAAAUCCUAUACAGAGAAAAAGAGAUAAGAACAGCUGACGAACUAGUUCAAAUGAUUGCCUAUUUCUACUACAAUGCAAAGAGACCAUCAUGUGUCAAUCCCGAAGCCCUUGCUCCUUCAUUCUAA